UACGUAGGGUCCGAGCGUUGUCCGGAAUUAUUGGGCGUAAAGGGCGCGUAGGCGGUGUGUCAAGUCAGGCGUGAAAGCCCCGGGCUCAACCUGGGAACCGCGCUUGAGACUGGCACGCUCGAGUUCGGGAGAGGAUGGUGGAAUUCCCAGUGUAGAGGUGAAAUUCGUAGAUAUUGGGAAGAACACCGAUGGCGAAGGCAGCCAUCUGGACCGACACUGACGCUGAGGCGCGAAAGCGUGGGGAGCAAACAGG
rnacentral:rRNA from 1 species